rnacentral:misc_RNA from 1 species
GAUGAAGAACGUAUCGAAAUGCGAUAAGUAAUGUGAAUUGCAGAAUUCAGUGAAUCAUCGAAUCUUUGAACGCACAUUGCGCCCGCCAGUAUUCUGGCGGGCAUGCCUGUCCGAGCGUCAUUUCAACCCUCGCGCCCAUCUGGGCUGCGGUGUUGGGGACCGGCCUGCCCCCUAGGGGCGCGCCGCCCCCCAAAAUCAGUGGCGGUCUCGCUGCAGCCUCCCUUGCGUAGUAGCACACCUCGCACCGGAGCGCAGCGCGGCCACGCCGUAAAACCCCCGACCCCCAUGAGUUUGACCUCGGAUCAGGUAGGAAUACCCGCUGAACUUAAGCAUAUCAAUAAGCGGAGGA